rnacentral:rRNA from 1 species
GAUGAACGCUGGCGGCGUGCUUAACACAUGCAAGUCGAACGGAAAGGCUCCUGCUUGCAGGGGUACUCGAGUGGCGAACGGGUGAGUAACACGUGGGUGAUCUGCCCUGCACUUCGGGAUAAGCCUGGGAAACUGGGUCUAAUACCGGAUAGGACCACAUUUUGGAUGGUGUGGUGGAAAGUUUUUCGGCGUGGGAUGAGCUCGCGGCCUAUCAGCUUGUUGGUGGGGUAAUGGCCUACCAAGGCGUCGACGGGUAGCCGGCCUGAGAGCGUGUACGGCCACAUUGGGACUGAGAUACGGACCAGACUCCUACGGGAGGCAGCAGUGGGGAAUAUUGCACAAUGGGCGCAAGCCUGAUGCAGCGACGCCGCGUGGGGGAUGACGGCCUUCGGGUUGUAAACUCCUUUCGCUAGGGACGAAGCGCAAGUGACGGUACCUGGAGAAGAAGCACCGGCUAACUACGUG